rnacentral:tRNA from 1 species
AUGAGUAUAGCUCAGAGGUAGAGCACAAGCUUAGCAAGCAUGAGGUCCUGGGGUUCUAUUCCCAGUACCUCUA